rnacentral:lncRNA from 1 species
CAUGUUGACACAAACUAGAAGUCACCUGGGAGAAGGCCACCUCUCUGGGAAAUUACACCAGGCUGGCUGCCCUCUGAGCAAGCCCGUGAGGCAUCCUCUUGACUGUGGAUGGGGGAGGGGCCACAGCGGAUGCUGCCACUACUUGGCGGUGGUCCAGGGUUCUAUUAGAAAUCAGGCUGAGCAGGUCAGUAAGCAGCCCUCCUCUGUGGUUUCUACCUCAGUUCCUGCCUCCAGGUUCCUGCUCUGCCUUCCAAGAUAAUGAACCUGUGGGCUAAAAUAAGCUUUCUCCCCAAUUUGCUUUUGCUCUUGCUGUUGGUGACAACAACAGAGAAGGAAACUGGAACAGAGACCUUCCUCUGCUGUGCCCCAAAGACCCAGGAGAACACCACUCAAUGCAGUGGACUUCCGGAAGCUGCAGGUGUGACUGCAUGAUAACGGUCUGCCAUCAGGAUGUGAAGAAAGCACUCAGGGACAAGAUGGCUGGCUCCCUGUUUCCAGCCUCAAUGCAUAUGAAGAACCAGCCCUCCUUGUCUGAUAGCAGUGGAAUGAGGGGGGCUUUGGAGAUACCUAGCUACACCCUCUUACUGUAUGUAUAAGGCCAGACUUAGUCAAGAACAUAAUCACAGUUGAUGCUAACCAAGGAUUUAGCAUAUACCUAGGAUUUCCCUAAUAACAUACAUGCUUUGUUUAAUCCUCCCCAAAACUUAUUCUUUAAGAGGUAAACUUAAAGCUGGAGAGAUGGCUCAGCAGUUAAGAACACUGGCUGCUCUUCCAAAAGUCCUGAGUUCAAUUCCCAGCAACCACAUGGUGGCGCACAAUCAUCUGUAAUGGGAUCCAAUGCCCUCUUCUGUUGUUACUCAUUUAUUAAAUAAAUAAAUAAAUUUUUUUUAAAAGAGGUAAACUUAGACACAGGACAGUAAGAAACUUGACAAAAACUAAAGAGCUCAUUAGCCAAAGCCCAGACUAGCAACUUUGCUUCGGAGUCCAAGUGGCAUAUUGAAUUGUGCCUAAACCUCUAGAUUGGGAUUCUAUGUCCAAUCCUCAUGUCAAUAAAGAAAGGUAAAGAUAAUAUGGUGCUUCAAAGUCAUAUGACAGCUAGGUUGGAAAGAGAUGAGAUCAAAGCCAUUCCAUACAUAGUAAUGCUGUAGUUAAGUACAAUUUUUAGCUUACAGCAAACGUCUCUACUUUAUCAUCACUAAUUAGCCCUCCUUCUUUUUCCCUUUGGAACCUUAGUCUUUGUUUUUAAGAUCUAUUCUUUUUUUAAAAAAUUAUGUGUCUGUGUCAGGUGCUGUGGGACUAAAGUUGGGUAUGGGUGGCUGUGAGCCACUCAGCAUGGCUGCUGGGAGCUGAACCAGAGUCCUCUGGGAGACACGCUCUAAUCACUAAACCAUCUCUCCAGUCUGCAGACCCCAGUCUCUUAUGUGUGUUCAUUUGGAACUCUCACAAGUUAAACUAUGACAGCUUAUGAGGGCAGAACUGGAGGCUAAAGUGCUAGAGUGACCCCUGAAUAUACAAGACAGGGGUGUGGGUCCCCAGUCUCAAAUCUCAUUUCAUUCAUUCAUUCAUGCAUUUAUUCAUUGCCUCUUGGGAACAAAACACUAAUUUUGAGACAUACGUGCCCAUGUGACUGCUGUGGCUUUCAGUCUCCUGAAACACACUUGCACAUCAUUCCUCCAGAGGAUGUCAACAAUCCGCAGUUAUGACACACUCACUCCUCUGCCCACCUCACAGGCCUCUGAACCAUCCCUGGGCUGCAGGAGGUUGAAGUGCCUCAGCUGGAGAGUGUUAAUAGAUCCUAUCACCCUUAGAUACACAAACCAGAGACGUGGCAACUGUUAUUUAUUUGAGUGGUUUGGGUAUUUUAGAACAAAAAUUGCUUGCUUGUGGUUGUUUUAUUUUUUUUUUCCCUCCUGUAACCCGAAGAACAAACUGUUGGGCCACUUAUUACAUUGAUAAGUAAAUUAGAUGCAAGGCUUUCACAUUUCAUAAUCAACUUCACCCAACAAUAAAUAUAAAAUUGUGAAAUUUCUACCACCC